GGAAGUAAAAGUCGUAACAAGGUUUCCGUAGGUGAACCUGCGGAAGGAUCAUUAUCGUGUAACCGAGGUGCAAGGGCUGUCGCUGACCUUUCAAAGGUCGUGCACGCCCAAGCACACUCUCGCACAUCCAUCUCACCCCUUUUGUGCAUCACCGCGUAGGCCCCCCUUUGCAAGGAGGGCUUGCGUUUUCACAUAAAAACUUGAUACAGUAUAUAGAAUGUUCUUUUUUUAUUUUGCGGUCACACGCAAUCAAUACAACUUUCAACAACGGAUCUCUUGGCUCUCGCAUCGAUGAAGAACGCAGCGAAAUGCGAUACGUAAUGUGAAUUGCAGAAUUCAGUGAAUCAUCGAAUCUUUGAACGCACCUUGCGCCCCUUGGCAUUCCGAGGGGCACACCCGUUUGAGUGUCGUGAAAUCGUCAAAAACCCAUUUUCUUUGAAAAGGAUUUUUGGACUUGGAGGUUCCAUGCUCGCCUUUGCCUUUGAAGGUGAGCUCCUCUCAAAUAAAUUAGUGGGGUCCGCUUUGCUGAUCCUUAAUGUGAUAAGAUGUUUCUACAUUUUGGAUUUAGCACCGUCCCUCGGAUGCCUGCUCAUAACUGUCUUUUGGACAAUGAUGGUGCUCCGGUCAUCGCCAUCUACAUUGGCGGGAGGCUGGACCCACAAAAAAAAACCUUGACCUCAAAUCGGGUGAGACUACCCGCUGAACUUAAGCAUAUCAAUAAGCGGAGGAAAAGAAACUAACAAGGAUUCCCCUAGUAACUGCGAGUGAAGCGGGAAAAGCUCAAAUUUAAAAUCUGGUGGUCUUUGGCCAUCCGAGUUGUAAUUUAGAGAAGCGACUUCCGCGCUGGACCGUGUACAAAUCUCCU
rnacentral:rRNA from 1 species